rnacentral:rRNA from 1 species
AUGCCAAGUUCCACAUGGGCCACGGCCAACUUGACUUUGUUGCAUGUUCUAUUCAGGACAGAAAAUGCCACCGGUGAAUCAUCCAUUGUACCUGGAGAGGACUUAGGAAGACAAUGGAGGAUGAUACUCCAACCAGGAUUACUGACGGUGUUCAGGCUAAACAAGUAUCUUGACUUGCAUGAGAACGAAUGGGACAAUUCAACUCAAAAGCUUGAGAGGAACCGUUCUGAUGGAUACUCCUUGACCAGACAAGUCUGCUAG